UACGUAGGUGGCAAGCGUUGUCCGGAUUUAUUGGGUUUAAAGGGUGCGUAGGCGGCUUUAUAAGUCAGUGCUGAAAUAUCCCGGCUUAACCGGGAGGGUGGCAUUGAUACUGCAGAGCUUGAGUGAAGUCGAGGUAGGCGGAAUUGACGGCGUAGCGGUGAAAUGCUUAGAUAUCGUCAAGAACACCGAUAGUGAAGACAGCUUACUAGACUUCAACUGACGCUGAGGCACGAAAGUGUGGGGAUCAAACAGG
rnacentral:rRNA from 1 species